rnacentral:rRNA from 1 species
GAUGAACGCUGGCGGCAUGCCUAAUACAUGCAAGUCGAGCGAACGGACGAGAAGCUUUCUUCUCUGAUGUUAGCGGCGGACGGGUGGGUAACACAUACAUAACCUACUUCUAAGACUUGGAUAACUUCGGGAAACCGUAUCUAAUACCGGAUAAUAUUUUGAACCGCAUGAUUCAUAAGUGAUAGACGUCCUUGCUGUCACUAUUAGAUGCAUCCGCGCUGCAUUAGCUAGUUGGUAAGGUAACGGCUUACCAAGGCAACGAUGCAUAGCCGACCUGAGAGGGUGAUCGGCCACACUGGAACUGAGACACGGUCCAGACUCCUACGGGAGGCAGCAGUAGGGAAUCUUCCACAAUGGGCGAAAGCCUGACGGAGCAACGCCGCGUGAGUGAAGAAGGUCUUCGGAUCGUAAAACUCUGUUAUUAGGGAAGAAAAUAUGUGUAAGAAAAUGUGCACAUCUUGACGGUACCUAAACAAAAAGCAACGGCUAACUACGUG